GGUCACUGAGAUAAAUAUCCAGCUCCGGAGCACCAGCCUUGACCCUCAGAAGUCGGCUGUCAUUCUGGUUGCACUCAAAUAUGUGGGGAAAACUCCAGACGAUAGAUUCAUCACCAUUAUGCUACGAAUCUGACACGACAGAAAGGCAUUACAGAGGGUGAUCAAGCUGAUCCGGAAAAUCCCAGGGACAGAUCUCCCCUCACUGCAUGACAUCUACAAUAAAAGGAAAUGGGCUUGAAACAUCAUCAAGGACACCACCCAUCCCAUCCACAAUUUCCUCACCUUAAUGAAGUCUAGCAAGCGGUACCGGAGCACUGCGGCCAGAACAUCCAGACUCCAGAACAGUUUAUAUCACCAGACCAUUAGAUUGAUAAAUAGUCCAAACCCACUGCCACUUCCACCUGUAUCAUCAGGGUCAGUUCAGUCUGUUCAGUGGCACUCUGCACUUUACCUGCUGAACCAUCAUGCACUCAUAACGGAUAAUCAUGGACAAUUUAAACACUAGACUUUACACGGACACUUUAUCACCACAAAGUAAGAAUUUCAUUGUACCAGUACAUAUGACAAUAAAGCUCUUGAAUUGAAUUGAUUAGUAUCGUCAUCUGUAACAUUACAAUCAAUAGAAUGAAUUAAAUGAGACGUAAUUACAAGAACACAGUUUAGUUU